GAUGAACGCUGGCGGCGUGCUUAACACAUGCAAGUCGAACGGUGAAAGCGGAGCUUGCUCUGCUGGAUCAGUGGCGAACGGGUGAGUAACACGUGAGCAAUCUGCCCCUGACUCUGGGAUAAGCGCUGGAAACGGCGUCUAAUACCGGAUACGAGCUGCGAAGGCAUCUUCAGCAGCUGGAAAGAACUUCGGUCAGGGAUGAGCUCGCGGCCUAUCAGCUAGUUGGUGAGGUAACGGCUCACCAAGGCGUCGACGGGUAGCCGGCCUGAGAGGGUGACCGGCCACACUGGGACUGAGACACGGCCCAGACUCCUACGGGAGGCAGCAGUGGGGAAUAUUGCACAAUGGGCGAAAGCCUGAUGCAGCAACGCCGCGUGAGGGACGACGGCCUUCGGGUUGUAAACCUCUUUUAGCAGGGAAGAAGCGAAAGUGACGGUACCUGCAGAAAAAGCGCCGGCUAACUACGUGCCAGCCGCCGCCGUAA
rnacentral:rRNA from 1 species